CCCACUAUGCUUAGAAGUCAACCAAGGCAAGCAACCCUACAUACCUUGCCCGCCAGAGUACUACAAGCGAAAAGCUUAAAACUCAAAGGACUUGACGGUAUUCCAACCACCCUAGAGGAGCCUGUCCUAUAAUCGAUAACCCACGCUUCACCCCACCUGUGCUUGCACAACUCAGCCUAUAUACCGCCGUCUACAGCCCGCCUUACAAAAGCACACAUAGCGCGCAAACCAGCCAACACUGACACGUCAGGUCAAGGUGUAGCUAACGCACAGGCAGAGAUGGGCUACAUUUUCUAACAAUAGAAAACUACCACCACCACCAUGAAACACGUACACA
rnacentral:rRNA from 1 species